rnacentral:rRNA from 1 species
UACGUAGGGUGCAAGCGUUGUCCGGAAUUAUUGGGCGUAAAGAGCUCGUAGGUGGCCUGUCGCGUCGGCUGUGAAACUCGGGCUCAACUCCGAGCUUGCAGUCGAUACGGGCAGACUAGAGUGCGGUAGGGGAGACUGGAAUUCCGUGGUGUAGCGGUGAAAUGCGCAGAUAUCAGGAGGAACACCGGUGGCGAAGGCGGGUCUCUGGGCCGUAACUGACGCUGGAGGAGCGAAAGCCGUGGGAGCGAACAGG